CCCCGCGCCCGCCUGGUUGGACGGGCUGUGUCCGCCCCGCCCCGCCCCGACACCGCCGCCGCCGCCGCCCCGCUCAUCGCUGCGGCCCCGUGGGAGCGGCCACGGCGCGGCUCCGCGCUGCGACCCCCGGCCCGGCCCGGCCCGGCCCGCGGGACCCCCGCGCCACUCACAGCCCCGCGGGCUGCGGGGGGAGGGCUCGGGUCCGUGAGCCCUGCUGGGGCUGCCCCUGCCCCCGUCCCCGUCCCCUACGGCCGCAGCCCCCGCUCUGCACCGGGGAGACACCAGACACGCAGCUAGGCAGAGAGAGCGAGAGAGAAAGACUAGCGAGAGCGAGCGAGAGCCGCCCCGCCCCGCCCCGCGCCCCGCGCUCCCCCGCGGCCGCCAGCCCAAGUGUGCUCAGUGUUGCACACAGGAACAACCAAAUCCAGGAGAGCAAACACCCCGGGGCGCAGCUCGGAGGAUUCACCCGCUCUCGGUUUCUUUCUGCUGAGGAUCGUGAAUGCAGCGCUUCAGGAAUAAUGAACGCAAUUAAUACUUGGGGGAAAAAAGAGAUAAAAAGGGGCAUCGCUUUGAAGGUGUAAAUAGGUUUCCGAGGGCUGGCGAUGGUUAUCCAGCUCCCCUUUGCCGCUGGUCAAAUGCGAAGCUGAACAUGAGAUCCGCGCCGCGCUGAGCUCCGCCGGGCGCUGGGCGCGUGGGAAAGGGGCAAAAAUACCUGGAAAAAACCAGAUCUGUUCUCAAACGGCUUCGCAUCUUGGGCUCUCGAUGAAAUAUUUGCUAAACAAGCCAUUAAAGGCAAACCGGAAUCGCUGCCCCGCGUUAGCUCCAAGCCCCAAACUCGUCUCCACCAGUGAAGACGAGAAGAAAGCGAUUCUCGUUUGCUUGAAAACAAACACCCGGGUGCUUUGGGGGAGGCUGGAGGGUGCGAGGCUGGGACCUGCGGGGGUUUCUUCGCCUGUCACAACAUGGGGGUUUGGUAUAUAUAUCCACAGCCAGAAAAAUAAAAGAAACUAACGUGCUUGCAGUUAA